rnacentral:rRNA from 1 species
GAGGCAUCUCUUAAAUAUCAAAGGUGAGCCAGUACAGGAUGGACCCGCGUCUGAUUAGCUAGUUGGUAAGGUAACGGCUUACCAAGGCGACGAUCAGUAGCCGACCUGAGAGGGUGAUCGGCCACAUGGGAACUGAGACACGGUCCAAACUCCUACGGGAGGCAGCAGUGGGGAAUAUUGCACAAUGGGCGAAAGCCUGAUGCAGCCACGCCGCGUGAGUGAUGAAGGCCUUCGGGUCGUAAAACUCUGUCCUCAAGGAAGAUAAUGACGGUACUUGAGGAGGAAGCCCCGGCUAACUACGUGCCAGCAGCCGCGGUAAUACGUAGGGGGCUAGCGUUAUCCGGAUUUACUGGGCGUAAAGGGUGCGUAGGCGGUCUUUCAAGUCAGGAGUGAAAGGCUACGGCUCAACCGUAGUAAGC